GAUGAAGAACGUAGCGAAAUGCGAUAAGUAAUGCGAAUUGCAGAAUUUCCGUGAGUCAUCGAAUCUUUGAACGCACAUUGCGCCCACUGGUAUUCCGGUGGGCAUGCCUGUUCGAGCGUCAUUUCAACCAUCAAGCCCUGCUUGCGUUGGGGUCCUGCGGCUGCCCGCAGGCCCUGAAAACCAGUGGCGGGCUCGCUAGUCACACCGAGCGCAGUAAUACAUCUCGCUUUGGGCGUGCGGCGGGUUCUUGCCGUUAAACACCCCCUUUUUACCAAGGUUGACCUCGGAUCAGGUAGGAAUACCCGCUGAACUUAAGCAUAUCAAUAAGCGGAGGA
rnacentral:misc_RNA from 1 species